AUUCUAUUGCCCUCUCGGCUUGCACCCUUUGAAGAAGGAAGCUGCCAUGCUGGAAAGGCUCAUGAGCCAAGAAAUUGAGGACAGGUUCUGGCCAACAGUCAGUGAAGAACUGAGGCCCUUAGUCCAUCAGCCCAUGAGGAACUGCAUCCUGUCACUGACCACAUGAGCUUGGAAUCAAAUUCCUCAUCCCGCUGAGUCUUGAGAUAACUCUACUCCCAAAAGUCACCUUGACUGAGUGACCCUGAAGUAGAAGACCACAGUUGGAACCCUCUUGCUGGACAAGAGUUCCUGGCAGACGUGCCCCCCCACAAGUGGCGACCACGAAGGGACCUGGACAUUGAGGAUAUCGGUGAUGCAAGAGAGUGAGUGGCUGCAGCAGUAAGUUUGGUUUUUCUCGUAAGUAAGCUUUCUAUUUUUGAUUUUGUACAAUAUUAAUUAAAUUUUCUCUAUCUUUGUUGUACAUACAAUUCAGGAUAAAUGUGAUUUCUGAGUUUCAUCUUGAGUAAAAAUGGGGCAACUUGAGUCUAUGGAACAUAAGUUGUUUGUGCAUUUGUUGCAGUCUAUGAUAAAGUCUCAGGGUCAUGAUGUUAAACUUAAACUGUUGGAAGAAUUUUUGGAAAUAAUCCGUGAGAUCUGUCCUUGGGUCCCAGAAGGUGGUGUUUUAGAUGAAUCAGCAUGGACUAUUAUUGGGGAAAAAAUUGAUCAAUUCUGUUUUUACAACAAGGAUAUGCCACAGUCUGCCGUUUUACUUUCUGUUUGGAGUAAGCUGCGUGGUUGUGUUUGUCCUUCCCUGCCCUCCGCUCCACCCUAUACCUCCACUGCUUCUCUCCAAAAGCAACCUACAAGUCAGCUUUCUGCUCCGCUGAAUCCAGAGGGUGCUGAAGUUCCUCCCGUACCUCCAGGACAUGAGGAAAUGGCAGAGUGGGGCCCUUAUAGUCAUCACAGUCAGCAGACGCCCCCCUGUGGGUUCCUGAACGCUUGGUGA
rnacentral:lncRNA from 1 species